rnacentral:rRNA from 1 species
AUGUCUUCUCAUUCUUCCAUUUUGUCCUCUCUUCGCUCGCUGGAUUCUCCUGUUCAUGUCCUCACUGCUGAUGGUACUCCACUUUCUGUCGUUAGUAGAGGCACUCUUACCACUCCUUCUUACUCUGUUCCUGAUGUUGCUCAUGUUCCUCGACUCACCAUAAAUCUGUUUUCUGCUGGUCAACUUACUAAUUCUGGUUGUCGCGUCAUCCUUGACGUUGACUCUUGUUCUGUCCAGGACCGUCGCACGCACAUUCUGGUUGGGGCUGGCCCUCGCCGCCGUGAUUCUCAAGGUCUUUGGGAGUUGGACUGGCUUCAUGUUCCUUCUGCUGCCACCACUAUCGCUAGUUCCUCCGCUUCAGUCACCUCUGUUACUGGUUCCUUCAAGCAGUGGCAUCAUCGACUUGGUCAUCUGUGUGGUUCUCGGUUGUCGUCUUUAGUUCGUCGAGGCCUUCUGGGGUCUGUCUCAGGAGAUGUCUCUUUAGAGUGUCAGGGUUGUCGUCUUGACAAGCAGAUUCAGUUACCAUAUUCACAUAGUGAGUCAGUGUCUAAGCAUCCUUUUGAUUUAGUCCAUUCUGAUGUAUGGGGUCCGGCUCCUUUCUCUUCCAAAGGUGGUCAUAAAUACUAUAUUAUUUUCAUAGAUGACUUCUCUCGUUACACAUGGCUUUAUUUGAUGACUUCUCAUAGUGAGGUGUUGUCUAUUUAUAAGCGUUUUGCUGCCAUGGUUCAUACUCAGUUCUCUUCACCCAUUCGUGUUCUUCGUGCUGACUCUGCUGGCGAGUAUAUCUCUAAGAUGUUGCGUGGUGUUCUUGAUGAGGAAGGCACUCUCUCUCAAUUCUCUUGUCCUGGUGCUCAUUCUCAGAAUGGUGUGGCUGAGCGAAAGCAUCGUCAUCUUCUUGAGACGGCUCGUGCAUUGCUGAUUACUGCCUCUCUCCCGCCUCAUUUUUGGGCUGAGGCCGUCUCCACCUCCACCUAUCUUAUCAAUCUCCAGCCUUCCGCUGCUCUACAGGGUGGUGUUCCUUCCGAGCGUCUUUUUGAUCGUUCUCCCGAUUAUUCGAUGCUUCGCUUGUUUGGUUGUGUUUGCUAUGUUCUUCUUGCCCCUCGCGAACUGACCGCUCAGUCUGUUGAGUGUGUGUUUUUAGGCUACAGUGAUGAGUAUAAGGGCUAUCGUUGUUGGGAUCCUAUCGGUCGUCGCAUGCGUAUCUCUCGAGACGUGACUUUUGAUGAGUCUCGUCCCUUCUAUCCACGCCCAUCUUCCUCGACCUUUUCAGUGGAGGAUAUCUCUUUCCUCACUUUUCCUGACUCACCUAUCACCCCCGUCGAGCCUGUGCCUACUCGUUCCGCUCCCUCUGCUUCUCCACCUCUAGUCGAUUUGAUGCCACCAUCUUCCACGGUCUCCUCGUCUAGCAUGUCACCGGAUUCUACACCUUCAUCUCCGGUGACUUCUUUGUCGCCACCCCUCGAUUAUACCUUGGCGAUUCCUCCUUCUAUUGUUCCAUCUUUUCCUCAGUAUUACACUCGUCGUUCACUUCCUGUGGAUGCCUCCGUGGGUGUGUCGUCAUCUUCCUCUCAGCCUACUUAUGGCUUGCGUUCUCGUCCUCAUCCGCCUGUUGAUCGUUUUGGAUUUCCCACCGCUGGUGCUGCUGUUCUUGAGCCGACUUCUUAUCGUCAGGCUGUUGUUCAUCCUGAAUGGCAGUUUGCGAUGGCAGAGGAGAUUGCUGCUCUUGAACGCACUGGUACCUGGGAUCUUGUUUCCCUUCCUCCCGGAGUCCGUCCCAUCACUUGUAAGUGGGUCUACAAGGUUAAGACUCGCUCCAAUGGUUCUCUUGAGCGUCACAAAGCUCGUCUUGUGGCUCGUGAUUUUCAGCAGGAGCAUGGUCGUGAUUAUGACGAGACUUUUGCUCCUGUGGCACAUAUGACCACUGUUCGUACACUUCUUGCCGUUGCCUCUGCACGCCACUGGUCUAUAUCUCAGCUUGAUGUUAGGAAUGCUUUUCUUAAUGGUGAGCUGCGUGACGAGGUGUACAUGCAGCCACCACCUGGGUAUUCUGUUCCUGAUGGCAUGGUCUGUCGUCUUCGUCGCUCUCUCUAUGGCCUUAAGCAAGCCCCCCGUGCCUGGUUUGAGCGUUUUGCCUCUGUGGUCACUGCUGCUGGUUUUUCAGCAAGUGCACAUGAUCCAGCAUUGUUUAUUCACCUUUCUCCUCGUGGUCGGACUCUUCUUCUUCUCUAUAUUGAUGACAUGGUCAUCACUGGGGAUGACCCCGAGUAUAUUGCCUUUGUAAAGGCCCGUCUUAGUGAGUAG